UUAAAUACACACACUCCCUCUUUACCCAUUUAUUAAGUAAUAAUGGAACACUUUUGUCAAAGCUUAGGCACCAAAUUUCUGACACCAGAUGAGCUCUAAAGCUAAUCAGGGGCUGGAAAAAUGGGAAUAUAAUUAAGGCUGCUGACAGCCCCGUGUCAUUAACCUCACAGCUCUCAGGUGCCACACUGAACCACAGCUGCAAAAAAUACUGUAUUACGGGCAGUUGGUUUCAGCUGUGGAAAUGAAUUUGGCUUUUAAUGGCUCUGUAAUGUCUCUAGGGCUGAGGUGGUGGCAGGGGGAGGGUGGUGUUCUGUGCUGGGUCAGCUUGUCUGGAGCCUGUGCUGCUCAGUGCCUUCUCAGUUUCUCGGGUGCAAAACUCAAGCUUUGGACAGCAGCAGAGGCAGGCAAUGAUGUCCUCGCUCUGUCUGCUUUGGAAGUCCUGGAGUGCGUUGGUGCGACCACAGCCACAGGAGCGGGGCAGUUUGGGAUAAAUCAAAAACAAAAGUGCCGUUAUCCAUAUGGGACCUCACGAGUGCAUUGCAUACCCCAGCAAUUCCGAGCACUCUGUGUACGGUUCUCGUUUGGUUUUAACUCAAUUUCUUUGAGAUGCAAAUCAGAGGGAUUAUAUUCAGAGGCUGCAUCAGAAAGUCUUUAAUCCAAAUGGGCUAUAAGAUUUAUUUAGAAGAGCCAAAUGUCUUGUCUGGGACAGAAGCAACCGAGCUGAACUGAAACAGAUGGACAUAAAGGAAAUUAAGCAACUCUAAUGGUCUUAUCCAGAGUUUCAAAGUAUUUGGUCUUCGGAAAGCUCCAGCUCCUGGAAACACGUGAUGAGAUGGGGAGCUCAAGUUUCAUUUAAAAACAGGCUUUGCAGUUCACUGAGAAAGACAAUAAUAAUGUUUUCAUUCCUCCUGUGUACAGAGGGAAGGCUGCCUUCCAAAGCCCAGCUCCUCAGCUCGGCUCAUGACAUCAGAUGGAAGCGUAUUGCACAACACUUGAAUUCCUUGUCUUCAUCACAGUAUGGUUCUUUCAGCGGGCUGGAUUUGGGAUUUUGGAAGGCUGAUGCUUCCCUGGGUUCUUGGGGUGCCAGGAGGCAGCUCCCCCUCAUCUCUGCAAGGGGAAACCAUCUGCAGCCUGGGCAUCGAGGGGCAGCAGCCCUCCUGCUGGCAGCUGCACCGUGCCCUGCUUGGCUCAGUGCUGAGUACCCAGAGCAGAGAAGCUCCACGUGUCUGCGCCUUUGCCAUCCUUCACCCCCGUGCUUUUGGAUUUGGAUUAAAUAAAAGGGGAUGCGUGGUGGCUGGGGCAUUGGCAUCAACCUAUGGAGCAACCCUUGUGGUGUGGGGCUUGGGAAGGAGGCCACCACCUCCUUCAACUCCUCCCACUGGUUUGAACUGGGGAAGGCUCAGCUCGUGCUCGGUGUCCCAGCCCCUGGGUGACCAUCCUCAGACCCAAUGCUGUCACCAGGAGCGGAGCAUCGCCCUUCACGCACCAUUAUUCCUCACCCCCAGAGCCUUUUCAUCUCUUAUCGGCGGUAACCCCCGGGCUCUCUUAUCUCCCCCCUGCCAUCCAGCGAGGCCAUAGAGCUGUCAGCGUGGGGAAUGACCUUCACCUCCUCGCUCACCUCCAGGAGAUGCUGUGUCCGCUCGGCCGGGCGCGUGGUUGGCUGCAGCAGCACUGCCUGCUGCCCGGAGCCAGGUAAUUACAGCACCCGUUACGGUUCAGCAGGCACCUUCAUUAAUAAACCUCAAGUUUCCGAGGUGCCUAACUCGGCCAUUGGAAACCACAUCUGGCUGUAACUCUGCGGCGUGUCUAAGCUUUCAGCUCAUCCCUGACUGCCUAAGCGGUUUACAGGACGGGCUGUAAACAAUGUCUGUUUUGUUGGGGUUUUGCGUGCUUUGAGGAAAAGAAAGCAAACACUCGUCCUCUGGGCUCAUCUCCUCAGUGCAGGGCUGAAGGCUGACAGCUCUUUCUCACGUUAUCCCAGUGGGAUUUUUGCUUCUGAAAUAGCCCAAAUAACGAACAUAUGGAGUCCUCCCAUGCACGCGCAGCUCUGGUGCUUGGCGCUGGGCAGGGUCCUUGCUCCCAAGUGGCAGCUGCAUGCAAGGUGGAGGGUGGAGGAUAACUUUCAGAACCACUGGCCAGUCCCAGUCUUCUUAGCGUAGAGCCUCUAUAAAUAUUAUUUUCUGAUAUUUGCAUAUAUCCCAACAGGAGGGCCCUUGUUGGGAUUGGCUCAAUGUAGUUGCUGCUGCCCAGUAGCUCCUUCCUUGUGCUUUGGUGAAUAAAUUACCCUACAGACUCCAUCACCUCUUAGGGCUUGAGCGCUUCCCCUGGCACAAGCCCGGCUUGCAGGAGGAGCAGCUACUGAUGGGAAGGAUGGAGUUAAAUUCCAUAGAGAUGUAAGGAGAGGAGAUGGGGUAAGGAGAUGAGUUGGGCAUCAAAGGGAGUGGGUAGGCAACUUGCAGCCAUAACCAGCCCCACCCAACAGCCAAACACCCCCACUAGUAACCCACCAGAGCUCAAAGGCAAGCGAGUGCACGUCUGUGUGGAGGAGCUCCAGGUUGUGCAGCUGGGAGGGAGGAAUGGGGGGUUGGGGGGCCAGAAUGUUGGGCUGAGCUGUGUCCCCGGCUCAGAGCCCUCCCCUGGCUGUGGGAUGGAGGCUUGUGGUAUUUGGGAAGCGUGAUCCUGGUGCUUGGGACAUCCAGGCUGCUGGGUACCAUCAUGCUGAAGGGAAAGAUGCCCGUACCUUGGCACCGGUGUGCCAGCAGCCCUUCUUCCUAGAGCCGGGCACUGGGGAUGCAAUGGGCUUGCACACCUUUGGGGCCAGUGCUCACCGUGACGUUGAGCAUCGGCUACCAACCUGAAAGUGAGCAGAGCUCUGUAGGAAAGCCAGAAAUUUCUGCUCUGCAUCCCCAUCACGGAGCAGGCGAGGGCCACC